rnacentral:sRNA from 1 species
UUCAAGCAGUUCAAGCACUGUGGCUAUCCCUGGCUACACCUUCACAAGCCCGGGGAUGACCGCCACCCUACCGUCAUCGGUUAUCUCGCAAAGAACUCAACAGACCUCCAGUCAGAUGCCAGCCAGCUCUACGGCCCCUUCCUCCCAGGAGACAGUGCAGCCCACGAGCCCGGCAACGGCAUUGAGAACACCUACCCUGCCAGAGACCAUGAGCUCCAGCCCCACAGCAGCAUCAACUACCCACCGAUACCCCAAAACACCUUCUCCCACUGUGGCUCAUGAGAGUAACUGGGUAACUCCAGCAGGGGUGGGGCAAGUAGGAGAACCCAGACUCGGGUAGAAGAGGCUUUAAGACAAGGUUUUCUGUUCUUUCCUCCAACGCAGGGCCCCUGGCUGGGGCUUUGAGCAGCACUUACCCAUUCCCUCCUCCCUCUCCCUGGUUAGCCUGGUCCUGGCUUGAGCUGCCCUCAAGCCACGCAGCCAGGACAUACCUGGCUCUGGAAUGGGUCCAGCCAUGCCUCCAGCUUGCCAUGAACUCUUUCCUAUCUGGGUCACCCCUUAGUUGGGGGGAAAUGUCAAAGAUUCCAU